UAAAGGGCACGUAGGCGGAGAUGUAAGUUGAAUGUGAAAUCCCAUGGCUUACCCAUGGAACUGCGUUCAAAACUGUAUUUCUUGAGUUUAGAAGGGGAAAGUGGAACUCCUAGUGGAGCGGUGAAAUGCGUUGAUAUUAGGAGGAACGCCGGUGGCGAAAGCGACUUUCUGGUCUGUAACUGACGCUGAGGUGCGAAAGCUAGGGGAGCAAACGGGAUUAGAUACCCCGGUAGUCCUAGCCGUAAACGAUGGGCACUAAGUAGAGGGACUUUAGUCUCUCUGCCGGAGCAAAAGUAUUAAGUGCCCCGCCUGGGGAGU
rnacentral:rRNA from 1 species